CAAGAUGCAAAGGGCACAUAGUGGAUGCCUUGGCGCUAGCAGGCGAUGAAGGACGUGGUAAGCUGCGAUAAGCCUCGGAUAGCCGCAAACUGGCAUUGACCCGGGGAUUUCCGAAUGGGGUAACCUGAUACAGGUCAUACUGUAUCGUUCCGCUCUGAAUAAAAUAGGAGCGGACACGCAAUACCGUCUGAAGUGAAACAUCUCAGUAGGACGAGGAAAAGAAAGCGAAUGCGAUUCCGUAAGUAGUGGCGAGCGAAAGCGGAUUAGCCCAAACCGGAGGGUUUCCCUCCGGGGUUGUAGGAGCCCGAUGUGGCAGGUGAAAAGUUAGGUGAAGCGAAUGGAAAAUCGCUCCAAAGAGGGUGAAAGGCCCGUAACCGAAAACUGGACACCGCCUAGGGAAUUCCUGAGUAAUGCGAUACACGUGAAACUUCGCAUGAAUCUGUGCCGACCACGGCAUAAGGCUAAAUACUCGCUAGCGACCGACAGUGAACAAGUACCGCGAGGGAAAGGUGAAAAGUUCCGCCGUGAGCGAAGUGAAAUAGAACCUGAAACCAUGUGCCUACAAGGUGUCAGAGUCCGGCUUGCCGGAUGAUGGCGUGCCUUUUGCUUAAUGAGUCUGCGAGUCAAUGCGUGUGGCAAGCCUAAGCCCUUCUGGGGUGGAGGCGGAGCGAAAGCGAGUCCGAAUAGGGCGUUUAGUUGCACGCGUUGAACCCGAAGCGGUGGUGAUCUACCUAUGGCCAGGUUGAAGCGUCUUUAAUCGGACGUGGAGGACCGAACCGGUGAACCUUGAGACGUUCUCGGAUGAGCUGUGGGUAGGGGUGAAAGGCCAAUCAAACCCCGUAAUAGCUGGUUCUCCCCGAAAUGUAUUUAGGUGCAGCGUCAUGUGCUGAUCAAGGGGGGUAGAGCACUGAAUGAGCUAGGGGGCAUACCCGCCUACCAAACUCAAUCAAACUCCGAAUACCCUUGAGUGAAACAUGGCAGUAAGACAGUGGGGGAUAAGCUUCAUUGUCGAAAGGGAAACAACCCAGCUCUGCAGCUAAGGUGCCAAAAUAACGCUCAGUGGAAAGGAAGUGAGAUUUCAUUGACAGUGAGGAUGUUGGCUUAGAAGCAGCCACCAUUUAAACAGUGCGUAAUAGCUGACUCAUCGAGAGAUCUCGCGCCGAAAAUGAUUGGCGAUCAAGCGUUAUACCGAAGCUCAGGAUUGUACGCACUACGGUGCGUGUAGUGGUAGGGGAGCGUUGUAUACGCCUCGAAGCGGGAAGGUGACUGACCGUGGAGUGUAUACAAGUGAGGAUGCAGACAUAAGUAACGAUAAGGCCAGUGAAAUCCUGGCCCGCCGUAAACCCAAGGUUUCCUGGGCAACGAUUUUCGUCCCAGGGUUAGUCGGGAGCUAAGUCCAGGCCGAAUGGCGUAGGCGAUGCACAGCUGGCGAAUAUUCCAGCACCGGCUAUGGUUAAACCAUACGUGCACAGGUGGGGAGAGAGCAUGCCGAUUGAAAGUGGCAGAAGGGGGAUGCUUCGGCUGAACCUGGUCUCUUGAACUGACUGUCUAGAAAAGCGUUGUGGCCCUUUCCAUGGCCGCCCGUACCGCAAACCGACACAGGUGGGUGGGUAGAAUAUACCAAGGCGAAAGAGUGAAACCUCGUUAAGGAACUCUGCAAUCUAGUCCCGUAACUUCGGAAGAAGGGAUGCCCUCCUCGGAGGGUCGCAGUGAAAGGGGACAACCGACUGUUUAUCAAAAACACAGCACUCUGCCAAGACGAAAGUCCAAGUAUAGGGUGUGACACGUGACCAAUGCCGAAAGAUUAAGGCAAGGGGUUAGCCGCAAGGCGAAGCUCUGAACCUAAGUCCCCGUGAAUGUCGGCCGUAACUAUAACGGUCCUAAGGUAGCGAAAUUCCUUGUCGGGUAAGUUCCGACCUGCACGAAUCGUGUAACGAGUUGUCCGCUGUCUCAACGAGGGGCUCAGUGAAAUUGUAGUGGCGGUGAAGAUGCCGCCUACCCGCAGAAGGACGGAAAGACCCUAUGCACCUUAACUGUAAGCUGUCACUGGUCGUUUGGUUUUCAUGCUUAGCGUAAGUGGGAGACUUUGAAGCGAAACUUUCGGGUUCGCUGAGUCGUCAAUGAAACACCACCCUUGGGUAUUGAACGAUCUAACCGCAGUCCAUGAAUCUGGAUGUGGGACCAUGUCAGCCGGUCAGUUUUACUGGGGCGGUAUCCUCCCAAAGAGUAACGGAGGAGCGCGAAGGUUGGCUCAGCGUGGUUGGCAAUCACGUGUUGAGUGCAUUGGCAUAAGCCAGCCUAACUGUGAGACUCACAGGUCGAACAGAUGCGAAAGCAGGCCAAAGUGAUCCGGUGGUUUAAUGUGGAAUUGCCAUCGCUUAACGGACAAAAGGUACGCUAGGGAUAACAGGCUGAUUUCAUCCAAGAGUUCAUAUCGACGAUGAAGUUUGGCACCUCGAUGUCGGCUCGUCGCAUCCUGGGGCUGGAGAAGGUCCCAAGGGUCCGGCUGUUCGCCGGUUAAAGCGGCACGCGAGCUGGGUUCAGAACGUCGCGAGACAGUUCGGUCCUCUAUCCUCUGUGGGCGCAGGAAAGUUGAGGGGUUCAAUUCCUAGUACGAGAGGACCGGAAUUGACGCACCUCUGGUGUUCCAGUUGUUCCGUCAGGAGCAUCGCUGGGCAGCUAAGUGCGGAAGAGAUAAGCGCUGAAAGCAUCUAAGCGCCAAGCUCAUCCCGAGAUAAAUUUUCCCUGAAGGAUCGUGAGAGACUAUCACGUUGAUAGGCCAUGGGUGUAAGCGCAGUAAUGCGUUCAGCUUAAUGGUACUAAUCAUCCGUUUGUCUUGUAUCGUUCCAUUU
rnacentral:rRNA from 1 species